GAUGAAGAACGCAGCGAAAUGCGAUAAGUAAUGUGAAUUGCAGAAUUCCGUGAAUCAUCGAAUCUUUGAACGCACAUUGCGCCCCCUGGUAUUCCGGGGGGCAUGCCUGUCCGAGCGUCAUUGCAACCUUCAAGCGCGGCUUGUGUGUUGGGUCUCGUCCCCCGUGGACGGGCCCGAAAGGCAGUGGCGGCGUCCCGACAUGGUGCCCGAGCGUAUGGGAAUCCUCUUCCGCUCGAAUCGGCCCAUGCGGCGCUGGUCGUAACCAAACUUUUUACCGGUUGACCUCGGAUCAGGUAGGGAUACCCGCUGAACUUAAGCAUAUCAAUAAGCGGAGGA
rnacentral:misc_RNA from 1 species